GCUAACUACGUGCCAGCAGCCGCGGUAAUACGUAGGGCGCAAGCGUUAUCCGGAAUUAUUGGGCGUAAAGAGCUCGUAGGCGGUUUGUCGCGUCUGCCGUGAAAGUCCGGGGCUCAACUCCGGAUCUGCGGUGGGUACGGGCAGACUAGAGUGAUGUAGGGGAGACUGGAAUUCCUGGUGUAGCGGUGAAAUGCGCAGAUGUCAGGAGGAACACCGAUGGCGAAGGCAGGUCUCUGGGCAUUAACUGACGCUGAGGAGCGAAAGCAUGGGGAGCGAACAGGAUUAGAUACCCUGGUAGUCCAUGCCGUAAACGUUGGGCACUAGGUGUGGGGGACAUUCCACGUUUUCCGCGCCGUAGCUAACGCAUUAAGUGCCCCGCCUGGGGAGUACGGCCGCAAGGCUAAAACUCAAAGGAAUUGACGGGGGCCCGCACAAGCGGCGGAGCAUGCGGAUUAAUUCGAUGCAACGCGAAGAACCUUACCAAGGCUUGACAU
rnacentral:rRNA from 1 species